rnacentral:lncRNA from 1 species
GAUUUUACAUCAAUCCAGAGUGUACGAUGCCGUGACUGUAUCAUCCGAUCCUUCCAUAGAGUGCGGUGACAAAACUGGAGGUGGGGAUCACGAGAUUACUUGUGCUCUUUUAGGUAUGGGAUGCUAUGCAGCUGGCCUGUCCCCUCUUCCUCCUGGCUGACAGUAGGAUUCUCUGCUCAGGCUAUUUCCUGCAGAACAGCUGCACAGCUUCUCUGGAGCCUGCUGCUGGCCCAAGUGCCUGUGAUCAUAGAAAUAGCUGGUUAGGAGGUGACCCAGAACAAAAAGAAAAGGCAGGUGGAGAUGGAGCAGUUAGGCACUGACGGCUUCUGUCUGGUGAGCUGGCUCUUGAUUGACUGAUUAGCUUCUUUGUAUGGCAGGCGCUUCUCUCAGCUCCUUCAUUAAAGAUGCAUCAUACCCCCUGCAAGAGUUUUUUUUUUUUUUUCUCUAUUUUAUUUUUUCCCCUCAGAGACGGAGAGAAAGAGGGACAGAGAAGGAGUAAUUGUGAAUGUUUUACAGUAGGGAAACUUAGUAUUGGAGGUCUUUAGAGAUGGAGUGCAGCCAGGUUCCUGCCUCCAAAAUUACCAGAGAACCCCCAACAUGCAAAACUGAUGCAUGUGUCUGUAAGCAACUUCAAAAGAAAAUGUAAAAAAAAAAA